GGCUACCAUGCUAGUCGAGCGGUAGCACAGAGAAGCUUGCUUCUUGGGUGACGAGCGGCGGACGGGUGAGUAAUGCAUAGGAAUCUGCCCGGUAGUGGGGGAUAACCUGGGGAAACCCAGGCUAAUACCGCAUACGUCCUACGGGAGAAAGGGGGCUUCGGCUCCCGCUACGGGAUGAGCCUAUGUCGGAUUAGCUAGUUGGUGAGGUAAAGGCUCACCAAGGCAACGAUCCGUAGCUGGUCUGAGAGGAUGAUCAGCCACAUCGGGACUGAGACACGGCCCGAACUCCUACGGGAGGCAGCAGUGGGGAAUAUUGGACAAUGGGGGCAACCCUGAUCCAGCCAUGCCGCGUGUGUGAAGAAGGCCUUCGGGUUGUAAAGCACUUUCAGCGAGGAAGAACGCCUGUCGGUUAAUACCCGGCAGGAAAGACAUCACUCGCAGAAGAAGCACCGGCUAACUCCGUGCCAGCAGCCGCGGUAAUACGGAGGGUGCAAGCGUUAAUCGGAAUUACUGGGCGUAAAGCGCGCGUAGGUGGCUUGAUAAGCCGGUUGUGAAAGCCCCGGGCUCAACCUGGGAACGGCAUCCGGAACUGUCAGGCUAGAGUGCAGGAGAGGAAGGUAGAAUUCCCGGUGUAGCGGUGAAAUGCGUAGAGAUCGGGAGGAAUACCAGUGGCGAAGGCGGCCUUCUGGACUGACACUGACACUGAGGUGCGAAAGCGUGGGUAGCAAACAGGAUUAGAUACCCUGGUAGUCCACGCCGUAAACGAUGUCGACCAGCCGUUGGGUGCCUAGCGCACUUUGU
rnacentral:rRNA from 1 species